GGUUUACGAAAUUUUAGGAUUUAUGGUUUAGAGCUUAUGGUUUGUAGGGGCUUUAAAUGUGUUUUAGGGUUUAUGGGUUAGAGCUUUUUAAGGUUUAGGGCUUUGGGUUUUUUAGGUUACGGUUUUUUAGGGUUUUAUAGGUUUAGAGUUUAGGGCUUAAGGAAUUUUUGUGUUUUUUAGGGUUCAACAUAUACGAUUUAGCGCUUUAUAGAAUUUAGAGUUUUUUAGGUUUAGUGGUUUUUGGGGUUUUUUUGGGCUUUUAAGGGUUAAUUGUUUCUU
rnacentral:lncRNA from 1 species